UACAGAGGGUGCGAGCGUUAAUCGGAAUUACUGGGCGUAAAGCGCACGUAGUCGGCUUUGCAAGUCGGGUGUGAAAUCCCCGGGCUCAACCUGGGAACUGCAUCCGAGACUGCAUUGCUAGAGUAUGGGAGAGGGAAGCGGAAUUUCUGGUGUAGCAGUGAAAUGCGUAGAUAUCAGAAGGAACAUCAGUGGCGAAGGCGGCUUCCUGGACCAAUACUGACACUGGAGGCACGAAAGCGUGGGGAGCAAACAGG
rnacentral:rRNA from 1 species